AUUGAACGCUGGCGGCAGGCUUAACACAUGCAAGUCGAGCGAGCGGCGGACGGGUGAGUAAAGUCUGGGAAACUACCUGAUGGAGGGGGCUAACUACUGGAAACGGUAGCUAAUACCGCGUACCAUAAGAUGUGCCCAGAUGGGAUUAGCUAGUAGGUGGGGUAAUGGCUCAACUACGCGACGAUCCCUAGCUGGUCUGAGAGGAUGACCAGCCACACGGGAACUGAGACACGGUCCAGACUCCUACGGUAGGCAUCAGGUGGGAAUAUUGCACAAUGGGAGCAAGCCUGAUGCAGCCAUGCCGCGUGUGUGAAGAAGGCCGUCGGGUUGUAAAGCACUUUCAGCGAGGAGGCGUUACUCUCAGAAGAAGCACCGGCUAACUCCGUGCCAGCAGCCGCGGUAAUAC
rnacentral:rRNA from 1 species